ACACGUGAUUCAGAAGUUUGAUCCUGGCUCAGAACGAACGCUGGCGGCAGGCUUAACACAUGCAAGUCGAGCGCCCCGCAAGGGGAGCGGCAGACGGGUGAGUAACGCGUGGGAAUCUACCCUUUUCUACGGAAUAACGCAGGGAAACUUGUGCUAAUACCGUAUGUGUCCUUCGGGAGAAAGAUUUAUCGGGAAAGGAUGAGCCCGCGUUGGAUUAGCUAGUUGGUGGGGUAAAGGCCUACCAAGGCGACGAUCCAUAGCUGGUCUGAGAGGAUGAUCAGCCACAUUGGGACUGAGACACGGCCCAA
rnacentral:rRNA from 1 species